rnacentral:rRNA from 1 species
AUGGCCGUCGUCGUCUGCGUCACCGGCGCCGGCGGCUUCAUCGGCUCCUGGAUCGUCAAGCUCCUCCUCGCCCGCGGCUACGCCGUCCGCGGCACCUCCCGCCGCGCCGAUGACCCCAAGAACGCGCACCUGUGGGCGCUCGACGGCGCGGCGGAGCGGCUGACGAUGGUGCAGGUCGACCUGCUCGACCGGGCCAGCCUCCGCGCCGCCUUCCACGGCUGCGACGGCGUUAUCCACACCGCAUCACCGAUGCACGACACCCCCGAGGAGAUCAUCGAGCCGGUGAUCACCGGGACGCUCAACGUGGUGGAGAUGGCCGCGGACGCCGGCGUCCGGCGCGUGGUGCUGUCCUCCACCAUCGGCACCAUGUACAUGAACCCCCACCGCGACCCGGACGCGCCGCUCGACGAGUCGUGCUGGAGCGACCUCGACUACUGCAAACAAACCAAGAACUGGUACUGCUACGCCAAGACGAUCGCGGAGCGGGGCGCGUGGGAGGCGGCGCGGGCGCUGGGGCUGGACCUGGCGGUGGUGAUCCCGGUGGUGACGCUGGGCGAGCUGCUGCAGCCGAGCAUGAACACCAGCACCAGGCACAUACUCAAGUACCUCACCGGCGAGGCCAAGGCGUACGUCAACGAGUCGCACGCCUACGUGCAUGUCAAGGACGCCGCCGAGGCGCACGUCAGGGUGCUCGAGGCGCCCAACGCCGGGGGACGGCGCUACGUCUGCGCCGAGAGGACGCUGCACCGCGGCGAGCUCUGCCGGAUCCUCGCCGGGCUCUUCCCGGAGUACCCGAUUCCCACAAGAUGUAAGGACGAGGUAAAUCCGCCAAAGAAGGGUUACAAGUACACCAACCAGCCUCUGAAGGACCUUGGCAUGAAGUUCACCCCUGUGCAAGAAUACCUCUAUGAAGCGGUGAAAUCCCUGCAAGAGAAGGGAUUCAUUCAGAAGGCUUCUGGCAACAAGGGGCUUGCUAGUAGAGGGAGUUCGCCGCCUCAAAAUUCAACGGCGCCCGUGUUUAUGUCGAAACUUUGA